GAUGAACGCUAGCGGCAGGCCUAACACAUGCAAGUCGAACGGUAACAGGAAAUAGCUUGCUAUUUUGCUGACGAGUGGCGCACGGGUGCGUAACGCGUAUACAAUCUACCUUUUACAGGGGUAUAGCCUUUAGAAAUGAAGAUUAACACCCCAUAGUAUCUAGAGAUCGCAUGGUUUUUAGAUUAAAAUUUCGGUGGUAAAAGAUGAGUAUGCGUUCUAUUAGCUAGAUGGUGUGGUAACGGCACACCAUGGCAACGAUAGAUAGGGGCCCUGAGAGGGGGAUCCCCCACACUGGUACUGAGACACGGACCAGACUCCUACGGGAGGCAGCAGUGAGGAAUAUUGGACAAUGGGCGCGAGCCUGAUCCAGCCAUGCCGCGUGCAGGAAGACUGCCCUAUGGGUUGUAAACUGCUUUUAUAUAGGAAGAA
rnacentral:rRNA from 1 species